GCCGUGUUAGUCUGUAUUCGUAAAAAGAAAAGGAGUACUUGUGGCACCUUAGAGACUGAACUGUUACUCUCCAGCGCAUCUUUAAGGAUCUACAACCUAUCCUGAAGGACGAUCCCUCUCUCUCACAGAUCUGGGGAGACAGGCAAGUCCUCGCUUACAGACAGCCCCCCAACCUGAAGCAAAUACUCACCAGUAACUACACA